rnacentral:lncRNA from 1 species
AAAUCUUCAUUAUUAUGUAAUGAACUACGUUUGACCUGAUUCCUCAAAGAAGGAUACGUAGGCGCCUCACGGCUCGGUCAUAGGGUGCACAACAUGUACAAUGUGCACGGAAAAGAAAUAUCAAGAGACCCCAAUCAAGAGACUAGGGCAGGAAUUGUAUUGGAAAUAAGAAAAGAUUCCAAGAGUUGUAAUUUUAAACCCAUACCACAGCUAUUUAGCUUUUAAUACCUUUUCCAUUCCUAACCUUAUACCAAAAAGACCUUUCGAUCAAUCUUAGAAAAAUGCUGAUGCAAGCAAAUGAAGUGGUACAAACAAGGAAAGAAAGUAAAAAUGAGAGAGUCUUAUAGGUGAAAACCCACACGGGCACCAUAAGGCGACGGAAGUGGAAAGAAAGUAAAAAUGAGAGAGUCUUAUAGGUGAAAACCCACACGGGCACCAUAAGGCGACGGAAGUGGAGAGAAAAGUAAAAAUGAGAGAGUCUUAUAGGUGAAAACCCGCACGGGCACCAUAAGGCGACGGAAGUUGAGAGAAAAGUAAAAUGAGAGAGUCUUAUUGGUGAAAACUUUCGCAGGCACCAUAAGGCGAAAGGGAAGUGGAGAAGUGAAAAAUGAGGAAUAUUGAUCAAUGAAAACUCUUUGAGACAAUUGAAAGGAGAUUGAUUGAAAGACUGGGUUGAUUAAUCCGAAAUGCAUACCCUGAUCAUUGGUACCAGUAAUUCUAAUCAGAUAAGUCCUUUAUUCCUUUUCCCACAGUCAUCCAAAAAUUGGAUUUUUCUUUUCAUUCUAUAAUUGUCGAAAUCAGCGUAUUUCGCUACUAAUAAUAUUACUUUCUCUAAGCUU